CUUACAUGCUUUAGGAAUCUUCCUUUUCUUGCUAAUGAUUUAGAUGGCACGUGAAUUGAGUAAAAAAAAACAAAAAGUGAAGAAUUGGCACUGGGCACUGGGCUUAGUUUAGCUGAGAAAAGACAUUUUCUCAGGAAGCGCGAAAGAAUCUUGAAGAGGAACUGGAGGACACCAGCAGUUCUUGGAGAGAGGCUGAGCAGGUAGAGCGGAACAUGGCUGUUAAACUGAAGCUCUUGUUCGAUUUUCUAGUUUGUUAUACAUUGCAAAGUUUGGCUGCCAAAGCUAGGCUUCUAACUUCUAAAUUAGUUUGUGCAGUCUAAAGCGCAUCUGUUUUUUCCAGCUGUCUCGUUUGCUGUAGUGAAAUAGAUUCUCUGUUAUAAAAGUUAGGCUGUCACAACCACCACAACGCUCUAACUCAAAAAACACCUUUUUUGUUUCCUUUCCUCCAGAGAGCGUGACACUGAUGAUGAGCUGGGAUUGCCUGUCCCACCCUGUCCCCUUCCAGGCAGCGUGUCUCAGCCAAGUGCUGUGCUCAGGGAGCUUCCGGAGAGCCACAGCUGUUAUGCUUAGGAGAUGCUGACACUACAGAGGGAUCCUCACAGGGAACACAGGUGACUCAGAAAUCCCGUCCUUUUCACUGAUGGCAUAUGAUGACAGAGAACAGUCUGUUCUGGAGUAGAUUCUGUGGAAGUCUGGGUAAGUGCAAUCUAUUAGAUAACAUAUUUUGCACAUUACCCAGAUUAUGGUCCGGAUCACUCAUUUGCUUCUGGGCUAUUUUGUUCUGUCUUGUAGGUAUCUUUUUUUUUUCUUUUUCUUUUUCUUUUUUUCUGACGUGCUGGGUAUUGCUGGGCUGGAACAAUGAAUCUCUGGACAACUGGAUUCCAAGUUCAUGUCUGAAAGCCAUCAGACGCCACGGUUGCACAUACAUGCAAUGUCCUCGGGCUGCCAUUGUGCGAUUCUCACAGCUGAGCCCUUUA
ensembl:lncRNA